GUUCGAAGGCGAUCAGAUACCGCCCUAGUUCUAACCAUAAACGAUGCCAGCUAGCUAUCCGCCGACGUUCCUCCGAUGACUCGGCGGGCAGCUUCCGGGAAACCAAAGCUUUUAGGUUCCGGGGGAAGUAUGGUUGCAAAGCUGAAACUUAAAGGAAUUGACGGAAGGGCACCACCAGGAGUGGAGCCUGCGGCUUAAUUUGACUCAACACGGGAAACCUCACCAGGCCCGGACACCGGAAGGAUUGACAGAUUGAGAGCUCUUUCUUGAUUCGGUGGGUGGUGGUGCAUGGCCGUUCUUAGUUGGUGGAGCGAUUUGUCUGGUUAAUUCCGAUAACGAACGAGACUCUAGCCUACUAAAUAGACGUCACUAACCGGCAUCUCAAGGCCCAUCGGCUGCAUGUAACCGUUGCACGGCGGCACGGUGUCACUGUGCGUGUUAGUGCUCACGGCGUGUAUUGUGCGUUCACGCUCGUGCAUAUGUUCACUUGUGGGCAUGUGUGCGUGGCGUGGCGUAUGUGCGCGUUGUGGGUGCGCGCGUAUAUGUGCCUGUGUUGUUCGUGUACGGGCUGUGUAGUUUUGAUGUGGUUUUUACUGCCGGCGUGCAAAUAACUCUUCUUAGAGGUACAAGUGGCAUUUAAGCCAUACUAGAAUGAGCCAUAACAGGUCUGUGAUGCCCUUAGAUGUUCUGGGCCGCACGCGCGCUACACUGAAGGAAUCAGCGUGUCUUCCCUGGCCGAAAGGUCCGGGUAACCCGCUGAACCUCCUUCGUGCUAGGGAUUGGG
rnacentral:rRNA from 1 species